rnacentral:lncRNA from 1 species
ACUUAAAAAGGACACGUUCGCAACAGAGGUCAUAUUUGCUAAGUCCGGGGUAGAUGCUCUUACUAGCUACUGUGCCGGGAAGAAUCUUGCCAAAAUGGACCAAAAAACAAGCGAGAUUGCGAGUUUCCGACAGCGCCAGAACAUUGACCAUGAACUUUUCUACUAGUUCCACAGUUUCACCGAGAGGAAGCGGCAUUUGGAGGAAGAGAAGCAUCACCUUUCCAUGCUCAAGAUGAGAAUGGAAGCAACCAUGAUGAGGAGAGGACAUGCACCGGUGAGAAACGAGUCCGGCCGCAUGCUUAAUUUCUCUUUCCCUUGCUUGCCCUAGCUGGGUGGAUGCGGAAUUAACUCCAUC